rnacentral:lncRNA from 1 species
UCCUACUUUCCCAAAGUAUAGAAAAGAAAGGCCUGAAAAUUUCCAGCCGGCUCAAUUGAAAUCUCAAUGAAAUGGAGAAAAUUUCCUCCAGCCGGCUAAAUUGAAAUCUCCAUUUCCACUCAUUUUCUCCAAAAUUUUUAACUUCCAUCUCCACCCAUUUCGAGUCCCAGAAGGGAGAAAGCAACCUCCGGCUAGCACAUGCUUGAAGUACUCCGACCACAAGCGAGCUCAAGCGCACUCGGUGCUCAUCUUUACGGAGUCCACAAAUCCCUUUCGAGAUCAUCUUAGUCCUGUCUAGUAAGUGUAUAACCUGUGAUUUUUUCUUUAUUUUAUGUUGAAUUGAAGAUUUUAUUGGAGCUCUGUUAUUUUUAUCUUUGAUAUAUUAGAUGUUGAAGACCACAUUUAAAUGGGUAGCAGUCAAAUUUCUUUGCACACGAUUUUGGAUUUUUGCUUCAUUAUUGUGGAUCUGUGUAGUUUGAUUAUCAUGUUUACAUUUCCCGUCUCAAUGAAUGAAGUACCCAUCAUGCUGCCAGGUGUGGUUACAUUUCCCGUUAUCUUUAGUAUUCAGGUCCUUAUGCUGUGUAUCACUCACCACUUUUUCAUUUUUAAUCCUGUCAUUUAGCUGCUCCUUUGAAUCUCCCCACCAUCCAUUCUUUUCACAAAAAUAUAAAUUCAAUAGUUAAGUUAUGGUAUGAGAAACUGGCACCUUAUUUAAGAUAGUUUUCUUGCAUCAAUUGACGGGUCUAAUUUACAAUCAGAGAUGCCAUAAUGCUAAAUAUGAGGCACUUUUAAGACAAGCUAAAGAAAGUGAUGAUUGUGUGUUCAAUAAUUUGGCUAUACAAUUUUCCAGCAUGCCAGUGCUUGCCAACUCUCAAGCAAAACACCAAAAUUGGCUAUUCCAGUAUCAUGGUUAGUUCUUUCCAUUAAAGUUUGGAACCUGCCUCACUAUUAAAAGUUGCUGCUGUACCACUAGAAUCAUCAGAAAUUGUGGUUGGAAUACUUAUAAAUUUCUUAUUGAUGCAUAGUAUUGGUUGCCAACAAAUUGCAUUCACAACAUAUUUGUAUUCAAGAUACUAGAGUCAAUACGCCUUGGCAUCUAAACUUCUGAAGCUAAAAACAUUAUUUUAUUUCAUUUUAAAAUUGAAAUACUUGCUAUGUACAGGUCUUUAGUAUGAUUUUUUUAUUGGUAUAAUAAUAUUUUUCCACAAAGUAAAUGUAUUGACAUUAUGAUAUAAAAUGUUUGGCAAAUGAUUUGCUUUGUGUUAAUUAUUGUUCGAACAACAGUGUUUUCUAUCUGAGUUGAUGCUCUGUGAUUUUCUCGCGUCGCAGAAUGGGCAGUUGUCAAAGAAGAUUCAACCAGCCAAUCAUCUAGAGCUAGUGCUUCCUCGAUUAACUUUGCAACGUAUGAAACAUCUGAACAAAUAUUACAUAUGUUUCAAUCUCAAGUUCGUAUCUCUGCGGAAGAUCUACAUAUUACGGUGAACGCGAAGGUGUGCAAGGAAUCAUCGAAGUGAAUUUUGAAGGGAAAGGGUUGACCUGAAUAGUAGCUGUUAGUAGAAGUAGUAGUUAUUACAUAAUCUUUUGUAUGAGGUCGAAAUAUGUUGAGCAAAGGCCUGUAAACUAUGUUUGUAAAUUCUACUAAUUUAUGAAAUGCUGUGUUUUAACUCUUAUUUCGAGGUCAUUGUUACUUGUAAAUAUUGCUAGAAAGAGUUACUAGCUUUGUAGGAGGGAUAUUAAAGGGCAAAAAGUGUAAAAAGAUGUUACACUGAUUAUAAUUCAAGGGAAUAUAAUCUUUGCUUCAAUUUAUGAAUUAUUGUAUUCGUUGUCCUGAAGAACUAAAUGGUGACACAAUUGCACUUUUACGGUAAGGCAGUGUUUGAUGAAGCAAAGUUUUCGAUGGAACUAGGAAUUCCAAUUCCAAGUUCCAUUUUUUGCAUGUUUGAUACCAUUAUUUUCUAGGGAAUUGGUUUUCUCCAUUUUUCCAGCCACGUAGACGAUUUCCAACUUUUGUGGGUGUGGGAAUUAAUUUUCCAAGCAAUGUCGACGAUUUUUUUAUUUUU